AUUGAACGCUGGCGGCAGGCCUAACACAUGCAAGUCGAGCGGAGCGGCGGACGGGUGAGUAAUGCCUAGGAAUCUGCCUGGUAGUGGGGGAUAACGUCCGGAAACGGGCGCUAAUACCGCAUACUAUCAGAUGAGCCUAGGUCGGAUUAGCUAGUUGGUGGGGUAAAGGCCUACCAAGGCGACGAUCCGUACCUGGUCUGAGGGGAUGAUCAGUCACACUGGAACUGAGAAACGGUCCAGACUCCUACGGGGGGCAGAAGUGGGGAAUAUUGGCAAAUGGGCGAAAGCCUGAUCCGGCCAUGCCGCGUGGGUGAAGAAGGUUUUCGGUUGGUAAAGCUCUUUAAGUUGGGAGGCGUUACCAACAGAAUAAGCAACGGCUAACUUCGUGCCAGCAGCCGCGGUAAUUC
rnacentral:rRNA from 1 species